CCAAAAUAUUUCAAUGGAUAAAAAUUAAUAUAAAAAAGUUGUAUUUAAAAAAUAUCAAAGGUCUUGAUUGCAGAAAUGAGAGGAUCUGGGUCCGUAUAUUCCACUUAUUCACCUUUAUAGAUAAAGUAGAUGUGCAAAUCUUAAUUCUAACAUUAAAAAAUAAAUUUCUGUUACUUAACAUUAGGAAUACUUUAAUCCCGUAUACAAAAGACGGUGAUAAAACUCGGGAAAAACAUUAUCCACCAAUAGAAACUAUCUUAAAAAACAUUAUCCACCAACAGAAACUAUUUUUUAUACAAAAACCAUAAUAGUUGCAUUUAGAAUGGGGAAUCUUACCGACACAAGUCCAUUUCUAAACUUUAACCUCAUUAAAAGUAACAACAUUGUUCCUGUUCCUGUAACUCCAUAUAAACCACAGAACUGCCACACUAGGAACCAAUUCCCCUCCUAAUUCCGACAUACAAAAACUUCUAUCCGAAAUCAGACCAAGAGAGAAUCAGAGUUUUAUUAUACAGUUGCAUUUUGUUGUAAUUUCUUUUCUUUCAAACUAAGAAACUUAUGGAGCCUUUUCAAAGUAAGAAACUGAUGGAGGCUAUUCAGGGAGAAACAAUCAUGUCACUCUCAGAUUCUGUGAAGGUGUUCUUAGAAAAUCAUGUUUUUACCGCGUUGGUUGAUAACUUCAGGAGGCCCGAGCUUGUGGUCUCAUUUUUGAAAAAGCUGAAGAAAACACUCUUGGAUCUUCAACAUGUACUUCUUUCUUAUGAUCUGCAGAAACUGAUCCCCAAUCGAGCUCUCGACCCAUCGCUGGAUUUGCUCAGAUCCGCUCUCUUUCAACUUGUUACAUUCUUUGAGGAGAUUGGUUCUUCAUUGAGGUAUGAAUAUGAUACCCCAAUUAAUAUUAACCUGCUGAGAUAUCUUGUUCGUUUAAAUCAUGUCAUUCGUGAGAUUAGUUCUGAAACGAAAAGAUUGAUUGAAAUAUCACAAGGCUCAAGUGUUUCCAAUUCUAUCACUGUUUCCCAUGAAACUAUUUCGGAUGAUGAGUCUCUUAUUUAUGGAAGAGACACUGAUGUUGAGAAACUUAAGGAUAUUUUGCUGUCUAAUAGUGAUGAUAAAAUAAGAGUGAUUUCAAUUGUUGGUAUGGGAGGUGUUGGGAAAACAGCCCUUGCUAAGUACCUUUACAAUGAUCCUCAAGUUAAGGACAAUUUUGAGUUACAAGUGUGGGCAGAUUUCUCAAAAGAUGUUGAUGAUUUCAGUGUUUUUGAAGCCAUUUUUGAAUCUAUUACUACUUCACAAACAACCAUUAGUCAAAGUUUUUUGCUAGUACUGGAUGGUGUGUGGGACGUAAGAUCUGUCAAUUGGACGUUACUGAUGGAUAUAUUUAAUAUUGAGAUGGAUAUAUUUAAUAUUGAGGAAACACGGAGUAAGGUCAUCGUCACAACACGAGAUGAAAGAAUUGCAAAAUCCAUGCUAACCUUUACUUCUGUCCACUAUUUGAGACCUUUGGAAAUUGAAGAUUGUUGGUCUUUAGUUGCUGAACAUGCAUUUCGAGAACGUAGCUACCAACAACGAUCCGAUCUAGAAAAUAUUGGCAGGAAAAUUGCAAAAAAGUGUGAUGGAUUACCAUUGGCUGCAGUAAUAUUUGGAGCUCUUCUUCGCACCUUAUUAUUCCCAAACGACUGGAAUUAUGUGCUAGAAAGUAAUGUCCGGCAUAUAGCUUAUGAGGUGCACGCUGCUCUGGAAUUAAGCUACAACAUUCUUUCAGAUCCUUUAAAACGGUGUUUUGAAUAUUGUUCAAUUUUUCCAAAGAAGUCCAUCUUAGAAAAAAAGGUGCUAGUUCAGUUGUGGAUUGCAGCAGGCUUAGUAGAAGAAUCGUCCACAGAUCAGGAAAAAGUUGGAGAAGAAUACUUUGAUGUGCUUGUAUCAAAGUCGUUGAUACAUCGACGAUCUAUUAGUGAUGGGGAAGAUAACUUUGAAAUGCACAAUUUCAUCCAUGAUUUAGCUACUGAGGUUUCAUCUCCAUAUUGUAUCAAUAUGGACGAACUUAACCUACAUGACAGGGUGCAUAACAUAUCAUACAAUAGAAGGAUAUAUGACUCGUAUAAUAGAUUUUAUAAACUGUCUGGAUUAAAAGGUCUGCGUACCUUUCUAGCAUUACCGUUACAAGACCAAAUGCCUCAUUGUUUGCUAUCGAGCAAGGUAGUAUAUGAGUUGUUGCCAACAAUGAAACAAUUAUGUGUGUUGUCUUUGUCAAGCUACAAGAGUUUCACUGAGAUUCCGAAUUCUAUUGGAAAUUUGUCAUACAUGCGGUACUUAAAUCUUUCUCACACUAAUAUUGAAAGGUUGCCUUCUCAAAUAAGCAAGCUUUACAAUCUGCAGUUCUUGUUGUUGGCUGGCUGUAAAAGGUUCACUGAAUUGCCGAAGGACAUUGGAAAAUUGGUUAAUCUAUACUACCUCGACGUUAGUAACACCGCAUUGAAGGAGAUGCCAGGGGAAAUGGGGAAAUUGGUUAAUCUACGCUACCUUGAUGUUAGUGACACUGCAUUGAGGGAGAUGCCGGUUCAAAUAGCCAAACUUCAAAAUCUUCAAACUCUCUCCGACUUUGUUGUCAGCAAACAUAAUGAUGGAUUGAAGGUUUCAGAGCUGGGAAAAUUUCCCAACCUACAUGGAAAACUUUCCAUUUCACAACUACAAAAUGUUACUGACCCCAUUGAAGCUUCUAAAGCCAAUAUGAAGAUGAAAGAACGAAUCGACAAAUUAGCUUUAGAAUGGGAUCGUGGUACUACUUUUUCAGAUCCACGAAAUCAAAGUAUUGUACUUGAACUCUUGCAACCCUCAACAAAUUUGGAAAGUCUCACCAUCAAAGGCUUUGGUGGAGUCAACAUUCCAAAUUGGUUGGGUGAUUCAUUAUUUGAUAGUAUGGUGUAUUUAAGGAUCUCGAGUUGUGAUAACUGUAUAUGGCUUCCGCCCCUUGGACAAUUGGGUAAUUUAAAAGAGCUCAAUAUUGACUCGAUGCCUUCGAUAAAAAGUGUUGGUAUAGAGUUCUAUGGAAAUGGUAGUUCUGCUUCAUUUCAACCAUUUCCCUCCUUGGAGACUUUACGCUUUGAGGAUAUGCCUGAGUGGGAGGAGUGGAACAUGAUUGAAGGUCCGACAAUGAAUUUUCCUAAUUUCAAACGUUUGUUGCUAAGCAUGUGUCCUAAACUCCAAGGAGACAUACCUCACACACUUCCAUCCUUAAUUGAACUUGAGUUAAGAAGGUGUCCUUUGCUUUUGGAGUCAAGAAGGUGUCCUUUACUUGUGGAGUCAAGACAUUCAUCUCAUAAUAACAACAUCAUAAGUAUAAUUCCAAUGUCAGAUGUAUUCCACAGAUUGAUGCUCCCUCUCAAUUCUCUUCAACAGUUAACCUUAGACGACUUUCCAUAUCUAACGUCUUUCCCAACAAACGGUCUACCAAAAACCUUGAAAUUUCUCAUAAUCAGUAAUUGUGAGAAUCUAGAGUUUCUACCUCAUGAAUACUUACACAGUUACACAUCGCUUGAGGAAUUGAAAAUAUCUUAUAGCUGUAAUUCAAUGAUAUCAUUUACCUUGGGCGCUCUCCCUGUCCUAAAGAGUCUGUUUAUUGAGGGUUGUAUAAAUCUGAAAUCGAUAUUAAUUGCAGAAGAUGUGUCGCAAAAGAGUCUCUCAUUUCUUAGAAGCAUCAAAAUAUGGGAUUGUAAUGAACUUGAGUCAUUUCCCCCUGGUGGAUUGGCCACUCCAAACCUCAUUUAUUUUGCAGUGUGGAAGUGUGAGAAGCUGCCUUCACUACCAGAAGCAAUGCACACUCUAACUGACCUUCGAGAAAUGGAAAUUGAUAAUCUACCAAAUCUUCAAUCAUUCGUCAUAGAUGAUUUGCCUAGCAGUUUACAAGAACUAACUGUUGGUUCUGUUGGAGGGAUUUUGCGGAAUACUGAGCCAACUUGGGAACAUCUCACCUGUCUCUCAGUGCUGCGAAUUAACAGCGAUGAUUCGGUGAACAUGCUGAUGGGGACCUUUCUACCUUCAUCGCUUGUGACACUAUGCAUCUAUGAUCUCAAUGAUACAGUCAUUGAUGGGAAGUGGUUUCAACAUCUAAACUCUCUCCAAAAACUUGAGAUUGUUAAUGCUCCCAAACUCAAGUCGUUGCCAAAAGAAGGAUUGCCUUCUUCUCUGUAUGUACUAAGUAUCACUUGCUGUCCAUUACUGGAAGCAAGUUUGCAGAGGAAGCGAGGGAAAGAAUGGCGUAAGGUUGCUCGCAUUCCCUUCAUAAUCAUCAAUGACAAAAUGAUCACAUGAGUUUCCUUUCUAGAAUUAUGUUCUGUGUUACCUCUGCUUCUGCCCAAUUUUGCUGCUGCAUGAAAGCAAUAUAGUUAAGAUCUACUGUUGGUUGCAGCCUUGCAGGAUCAUAUGAUCCUAUUUUCCACGGCUGCCAGAGCGUGCUACAAUCGGAGCAAGAUUGUGUUUUAAUGCCGCUGUGGUCGGAUCGAGAUCUCUUUGCAGGAUACUAUCAAGUGAAAGAAACACUCGAAGAAUUUGGAGAAACUGUCGAAUCUGAAUAUCAACAUUGGCACCAAUUCCACUGCCACUGCUGUGUGAAUACUUUAAUCGGACCACAGGAAAAGCCAGGUACCGAUAAAUCAAAAGCAAAGAAGGCAUCAGAACUCGAUAUCGAGUCAAAGAAACCUAAAAUUGUAGAAGGAGGAACUGCGGUUAAUAAUGUUAAAACGUGUACUUUAUGCAAUGUGGUGUGUAAUAGCGGGAUAAUUUUCAAUCUGCACCUUGUUGGCCAGAAACAUGCUGCUAUGGUGAAGAAACUGCCUAUAUUAUUCAAAAACUUGUUGGUUAAAAUAUUGGUUGGGCAUAACUUGUAUGGAAUCAAUUAAUCCCACCCUGGAAAUCACUUUUAGAACGGAGAUUGAUGCAUAAUAAAUAGGGUUCUCACAGAUGAAGUAAGGGAUAUAGCUGCAAUUUUGUAUCAAUAUGUAAUAUUUGUGUCAGAGAAGCUGAAUCCAACACUCAUUUAUUUCAUGGUUGUCCAUUUUCUCAUAGAAUGU